rnacentral:rRNA from 1 species
UUGAGUAGUAUUAGUUAUGUUCUUGAAACUUAAAAAAUUUGGCGGUAUUUUAGUCUAUUCAGAGGAACCUGUUUUAUAAUCGAUAAUCCACGAUGGACCUUUCUUAUUUUUGUAUUUCAGUUUAUAUACCGUCGUUAUCAGAAUAUUUUAAAAGAAAAAUAAUUUUCAGACAUUUUAAAUAGAAUUCAUAUCAGAUCAAGGUGUAGCUUAUGGAUAAGUAUAAAUGGGUUACAAUAAAUUUAUUUAUAUGGAAGUAAUUAUGAAAAAAUUACUGAAAGUGGAUUUGAAAGUAAAAUUAUAUAGAUUAAUAAUUUGAUUUUAGCUCUAAAAUAUGUACACAUCGCCCGUCACUCUUGUUUUAAGACAAGAUAAGUCGUAACAUAGUAGAUGUACCGGAAGGUGUAUCUAGAAUGUCAGUUUAAAGCUUAAUAAGUAAAGUAUUUCAUUUACAUUGAAAGGAUUUUUGUGCAAAUCAUUAUAAUCUGAUCAUUAUUUAUUUAUUAAUUAAUUUAUUUUAUAUUUUAUUUUAUUAAAAAUAAUUGUAUAAUUAUAUGUUUAAGUAUUGAAUAAAGAAAAAAUAAUUUUUAUUAUAGUUAAUUUGUAUUGUGAGAGAAAAUUGAAAUAGCUGAAAAA